rnacentral:ncRNA from 1 species
ACAAAUUCGUUGAUGAGAAAGAGUAGCGUUUCAACUUGAUCCGCAGAGAGCUGGCAUUUUGGUGCAAGUCAGUGUUCAAGUGUUACGUGAAUAUCCUCUCUGAGAAGCUGGACCGAACGUUAAAGUAAGUCCAGCCGGGAGUCUGCCGUUACAAGGAACACGUAUGAUUGUACGUUGCUAAGUGCUAUUGACCGGAAUCAAUAGAAUUAAGGUGGUAACGCGGUUAACCCCGUCCCUUAC